CUUUAAAUUAAGACCAAAAAUAUCAAUUUUGUUUUCAUUAAUUUGUACAAUAUAGCCAAUUCUGACUUUGUAGCUGUGGUAGCUAGUGGAAAGCCCAAGUGGUCCCCAGUCGCUAUUCAUUGACGUCGCGGUAUUAUGUACUGUAUUUUCCUGCUUUCUUUUUUUCUUGUAGCUAGCCUGCUAGCUAGUUGACAACAAUGGGCGAUAGUGAGCAGGUAGAGUGGACGUUUAUGAAAUUAUACCUUAACGAUAUUGGAAACACUCUUUCAGAUAAAUCUGGAACACGGAUGUCGAAAAGAAAUUCGAAAAUGCUAUUUAGCAUCAAAGACUACAAAUCCCUGCAAG
rnacentral:lncRNA from 1 species